GGCUUAUUGAUGAUAAUUUUAAGUCUAACCUGCUCAAUGAUUUUUUAAAUAGCCGCAGUAAUUUGACUGUGCAAAGGUAGCAUAAUCAUUAGUUUUUUAAUUAAAAGCUGGAAUGAAUGGUUUGAUGAGAAAAUAGCUGUCUCUGUUUAAAUUUAUUAGAAUUUUAUUUUUAAGUGAAAAAGCUUAAAUAACAAUAGAAGACGAGAAGACCCUUUAGAGUUUUAUACUUUUAAGUAUAGAUUUAAUUAGAUUUUUGUUAAUAUAAAAGAGUAUUUUAUUGGGGUGAUUUAAAAAUUUAUUAAACUUUUUUUUUAUAAAUACAAUGAUUUUUGACUGAUUGAUCCUUUUUUAUAAGAUUAUAAGAUAAAAUUACCUAAGGGAUAACAGCGUAAUUUUUUUUAGAGUUCAUAUCAAAAAAAAAGAUUGCGACCUCGAUGUUGGAUUAAAAUUAAUUUUUGGUGUAGAAGCUGAAAAAUUAGGUCUGUUCGACCUUUGAAAUUUUACAUGAUCUGAGUUUAAACCGGUGUGAG
rnacentral:rRNA from 1 species